rnacentral:misc_RNA from 1 species
CAACAAAGCAGCAUGAAAGUUGGUCAACCCAUGUUCAAGUUCUACAAAGACAGAGCCUUAAGCCUACACAUUUGCCCCAGCAGCUGUUGAUCUCACUCCCAACAAAAGAAGGUGGUGUUUUGAUAGAAAUGAAACAGGUGGGAACUGGCAAGGAGCAGCUCAGUCCAGUCAGUCCACACAGGCUUUUUGACGAAUGGCAUGAAGCUUGAUUUUCCGAAGGUAGUGUAAAAAAGACAUGCAAGACCUUCCUGGAGUAAAUACCAUUGAAGUGUGCAGUCUUGUCUUGUUAAUCCAAUUAUGCUUUCGGUGAAAAUGGAAGUCCACCUAAAAAUUCCUCUUAAAUGCCACAUUGCUGAUGUUUGAGGUUGGAAGAUAGAAGAUCUCACCAAAGCAUGGAAUAGCUUGAUGGAGGAAUUAUAAAUCAAACCUUAAAGUUAUUCAAAUCCUAUAAUGAAAAGGUGCUUGUUGCUGAAGUUUCACUGGUCGGUCGACACGUGGAGACACGGUAUUUGAUCAACUUGAGUUAAGCUUCAACCUUGGAGAAGAUUUAGAACACAACAUUCCCGACGGUGUUGAAUAGGCUCUGUUGAAAUUCAAGAAGCAAGAGAGGAGUUUCCUUAAGUUGACACCUGCAUACGGUUUCGGCUCUGCCGGUAACGAGAAACAAGGUGUUUUACCCAACGUCAACUUCGAAUACGAGGUUGAACUAAAGAGCUUUGAAAAGGCCAAAGAGAGCUGGAGCAUGGACGCCGAAGAAAAAGCUGGAACAGGCGAAACUCUGCAAAGAAAAAGGAGCCAAUCAUUUAAAAACUGCCAAAUACGCUCUGGCUAACAAACAGUAGGCCUACUUCAAGAUUUUCACCCUCCUCGAGUUUGAAAAAACUCUUAAAGACUAGAAAGCUACGGAGCGAGAACAGCUCAUGCUGGCAGCAUACCUCAAUCAAGCCAUGUGCUGUUGAAAGUUAAAUGAUUUCUGUGCAACUCGUGAUCAUUGCCACAAGGCGCUCGAGAUGAACCCGAAAAAUGAAAAGGGUUUAUUCCGUAUGGGCCAGGCACUUUUGGGCAUUCACGAGCCUGAGGAAGUCAAGAAACAUUUCGAGGCGAUUCUCCAAUUUGAUUCGAACAACAAGGCGGCCGCCAAUCAAGUGGUGAUCUGCAACGCCAAGAUUCGGGAGCUACGCGAAAAGGACAAGAAAUUGUACUCUAGCAUUUUCAACAAGGUGGUCGAAAACGAUCGACAGAAAGCCUUGCGGAACAAGGCGAUGGAUAUGCCGGAACCGACGCAGUGGGACAAUGAAGACUCGGAGAACACGACCGCCGUUGAAUUGCAAGAUCCUUUGGACUCUGUGCCAUGUAUAGAGUCGGAAGACUCCGAAGGGUCGGAUGAAAACUAAUCUUAUUGAUUAUCGUCAUUGUGAUUCUCGACCCAUUUUUUUGAAAUUUUAUUACCGAGAAUUGAUUGUGUUUUUCUUUCAUGCCUGUUCUCUCUGUUGUUAUAACACAAACAAUUUCUAAACCAACACAGUUACUAAGGACAUAUUCAAUUGAUUGUGUAAUUAUCGACUGCCCUCAAUCGUAAAACAUAUCUCAUCUUUAUCAAAUAAAAAUUGUGAAUUUGACGGGUAUAAAAUUUAAUAAAUAAAACUGGAGACUC